AUCUGAUUAAAUAAGAUAUUUUACCACCCCUACAGGGGAGGGCAAUAAACAUCUUAAAGUAUCAGAAACAUAAAUUCCCAGCGGGCUGGGAAUAGAAUUUAACUAUAGAAUCACAACAUAAAUAUGGCGUCCCUGAUUGCUGGGCCCAUUAUUUGUAAAAUUUAUUUAGCGUCCCAUGUUACUGGGCUCAUUGAAUGUAACAUUUAAUUGGUGUCUCAGUUUGGUGGUCAUUGAAUAUAACGGUCAUUCUGCACAUAUAUGAGAAUAAACCAUUAUUGAAAACCGUGUGAAAGCAUUAACAUCAGCUCUCACCACUCAAUAAUGAAAUCUUAAAGUCACAACCUAAGAAUCCAAUACCAAAUGUCUUAGCUUAUGUGAGAAGAAAAUAUAACCUUUGACAUUAUUGGAGCAUCAAGAUAUAGAAAAUUUAACAACAUCUAAUAACUCCAAAAUAUCUCUUCAGCUAGUGAUAACCAACUUUACUUCAAAGCAAAACUCAGAUGAUUCAAAUCAAUCUGAUCACUUUGGUCCAACUAAAACUAAAAGAUUUAACUCCCAAGUUAGUCUUAUCGUUCGACCAAAAUUUAUGCACAUCUAUAACUAGAUGCUGCCAUUUGUGGUUUCUAUAACCACAUCCCAAAAAUGAAAAGUCCCAAGUUAUGCUAUUUCAAAGUCACCUCCAGUCCAAAAUAGGUUAGAUGCCUCAAAAUUUAACCUAAAUCCCUUUGUCUAUUAGUUUGACAAGACUCCUAAACACUUAUUUUAUAUUGUGUAGAACAAGAUUUGUUGCCAGAUUUAACGUAAGUUAAUCUGUGGUCCUACCCAACCAAAAGGGGGUGGAUUCAAAUUAAAUUGCUUAAAAUCCCUUAAAGAAAGGUGAAUCAUAAGCUAAAUUGCUAGUAAAACCUUAAAGGUAAGCUUUGCGCCAAACUGCUUAUAAAUCCUCAGAGACAGGUAAAGCAUGCGCUAAAAUAGCUGGUAAAUCCUAAAUAAGGUGUAGCAUUUCUAACACUGAAAGAAAAGUGUUUCUUUGAUAUCACAGGUUUAAAGAUAACCCGUGACCCGUUUCUACACACAUAAAAAUAAGUCCUUACAAUAUGUAUAUGUAAAUAUA